GAUGAAGAACGUAGCGAAAUGCGAAAAGUAGUGUGAAUUGCAGAAUUCAGUGAAUCAUCGAAUCUUUGAACGCACAUUGCGCCCCUUGGUAUUCCAUGGGGCAUGCCUGUUCGAGCGUCAUUUUGUACCCUCAAGCACUGCUUGGUGUUGGGCGUUUGUCCUGCAGAGGACUCGCCUGAAAGCGAUUGGCGGCCAACGUAGUCGUGCCAGAGCGCAGCACAAUCUCGCGUCUCUCCCCUCUGCGUCGGCGUCCAUGAAGCCCACAAUCUCAACGUUUGACCUCGGAUCAGGUAGGGAUACCCGCUGAACUUAAGCAUAUCAAUAAGCGGAGGA
rnacentral:misc_RNA from 1 species